rnacentral:rRNA from 1 species
UACGUAGGGGGCAAGCGUUGUCCGGAAUUAUUGGGCGUAAAGAGCGUGUAGGCGGUCCGGUAAGUCAGCUGUGAAAGUCAAGGGCUCAACCCUUGAAUGCCGGUUGAUACUGUCGGGCUAGAGUCCGGAAGAGGCGAGUGGAAUUCCCGGUGUAGCGGUGAAAUGCGCAGAUAUCAGGAGGAACACCGAUUGCGAAGGCAGCUCGCUGGGACGUUACUGAGCUGAGACGCGAAAGCGUGGGGAGCAAACAGG